UCUUGGGUGGCCUAGUGGUUAGAACGUCCGCCUCAGAUGCGGGAUGUCGUGGGUUCGAUCAUACCAAAGACUUACAAAAA